rnacentral:rRNA from 1 species
UGGGGAAUUUUGGACAAUGGGCGCAAGCCUGAUCCAGCAAUGCCGCGUGCAGGAUGAAGGCCUUCGGGUUGUAAACUGCUUUUGUACGGAACGAAAAAGCUCUCUCUAAUAUAGGGGGUGAAUGACGGUACCGUAAGAAUAAGCACCGGCUAACUACGUGCCAGCAGCCGCGGUAAUACGUAGGGUGCAAGCGUUAAUCGGAAUUACUGGGCGUAAAGCGUGCGCAGGCGGUUUUGUAAGACAGAGGUGAAAUCCCCGGGCUCAACCUGUGAACUGCCUUUGUGACUGCAAAGCUGGAGUGCGGCAGAGGGGGAUGGAAUUCCGCGUGUAUCAGUGAAGUGCGUAGAUAUGCGGAGGAACACCGAUGGCGAAGGCAAUCCCCUGAGC